UGCACACUGUGUAGGAGACUUGAGUGACUGAGGAAGGAAGAUGUUUCUACUUAAGAGCUGCAAUUGGUAACCUACCCCAUAUAGCCUUGUGUCAAGGUAUUCUACAGCUGGACAAGGUUUUGGAGCUGGUGACAGAUCUGUGCUGUGAGAGUGCAGCGAAGCCACCGGACCCUCACGGCUCAAACCCUAGCAUCGGCGGAGGGACAUGAGCGCUUCUCAGUACGUGGGACCUCAGCCACGCUGC